GGGCUCGUGGUUUAGUGGUAUAAUACUCCCUUAGCAACAAUAAUUGGGAGUGGUCCGGGGUUCCAUUCCCCGCGAGUCCA
rnacentral:tRNA from 2 species